CACACCGCCCGUCACAUCACGAAAGUGGGCUGUACUAGAAGCCGGUAGGCCAACCGCAAGGAGGCAGCCGUCCAAGGUAUAACUCAUGAUUGGGGUG
rnacentral:rRNA from 1 species